rnacentral:rRNA from 1 species
UUAUAUAAACGUAUCACCAAGUUGGGCUCCGAUCCCAUCAGAUAUCGGAAGCCAAACAGGGUUGGGUCAAGUCAGUACUUGUAUGGGAGACCUCAAAGGAAAAUUCAUGUGCUGUAGAAA